AAGUCUAAAAUGACUCUCGGCAACGGAUAUCUCGGCUCUCGCAUCGAUGAAGAACGUAGCGAAAUGCGAUACUUGUGUGACAACGGUACCAAAGNNANNC
rnacentral:rRNA from 1 species